AGCCGCUGUUUAUCAUAAAUUUUAUGACACUAUUAUUAUAAUUAGUAUUCUCUUUCAAAAACAUGUACAGAUUGAUGUGUUGUCAAUGCUGCAUCAUGUGUGACAUUGCAUUGUAAUUUCAGAAUUAUACUUAGAUUAUUCAUUCAAACGUCGUCGUGAAUGUUAAUGAGAAUUGCAUUUCAUUUAUUCAUAACUACAUAGAAUAAAACAAAAUCGCUUCCCGCUGUCUGUCUGUUCUUAUAUAUGCUUAUAUCUUUAAAACUACGAAACGCAUUUUAAUGCGGGUUGAACAGGUUUUUAUCAUGGAUUUAGUAAGUAAGUACUUCGACUCUAGAGGAAGGUGUAGGUGUAAUGUACUUUGGUUUUACCUGAGCGAAGCCAAGACGGGCCGCUAGUAAUAUUAUACAUGAGACUUACCUAAGUUUAAACCAUGCACAGAAUUUAUAAUACUCCAGCAGGCUUACUCUCGAAUCACAAUCCCAAUAUACGAUCCCAAUCUCAAUGCAAGAAACGUCAUUUGGCACUCUUGAAUUUAACACUAGCGCCACAUUGGUGCGGAUAUUGAAUGAACUAAAUUUCAUUGGGAUUGAGUUUUGGAACUUGAGAUCGUUACUCUUGAAGCCACUUUGACAGCUCCAUAUUGCGUUGAAAUUGUGUUAUUAUUGGAUAUUGUAACAAUAGCGAAAGAGUAACUUUGUUAGAAUUGAGUUAACAUUUUAGCUGUGAAAAAGUGCAUAAAAUGGUUCGUUUGGUGUUGCAAAGCGUAAUUCUUAGUGAUGUCUAUAGGAAGGAUUUGCGAGAAACUCGUAAUUUGCGUAGGAAUGCUCGAUACGCCGAUAAAACCCUUGCUAUGACUGACGACGAGUUUAAGCGAAAUUAUUGUGUCACCAAGGCAUUUUUUUAUGGAUUGUGCUAAGAAAUUGAACCCUUAAUGCAAACUCCAAAAACGAGAAAUGAUAUCAGUAAAAAAUACAAGAUACUAAUAGCACUUUCAUUCUUUGCGACUGGCGGGAUACUAGGUACUCCCAUGUCACAGCAAUCAUUAUCUCGAGCAUUGAGGGAUGUGACUGCAGCAUUAAACAGCCCGAGUGUUCUGCAUAAAAACAUAAAAUAUAGAGUGUUACAUUAUUACCCUGUUGUAGCAACAAAAAUUAUAAACACUUGCUGCAUGCUCCACAAUAUGUGCAACCAGGCACAUUUAAUAGUGGAAGAUGAUGAGAACCCUAAUAACAUACAGACCUAACUGUUGAUGUAGAACCCGCACUACAAGAAAGAGAUGGAGCUUCUAUAGAGCUGCAAAGGGAUACCCCUUAGAAGCUAGAGCAAAUCUUGUGCGACAAUUGUGGGCAGCAUGUGGUGUGUGAUAAUGAGUAAUAUUUGGUUGGGAAUAUCCUCACAGGAAGUAUAAAAACAAUCAUUAAGUUAAAAAAAUAUAUUUAUUGUUUAUAAUCUUUAUUGACCUAAAAUACAGAGAACACUAAUAUAAUUUGUAUUUAAUAAAUUAUUAUUUAAAUAACAUUUAAAAAUCUACACAAAACUUCAUAAAUAUUAGUAUGGAAUCAUAUAAUGCCUACAAAACUUUUUUCGCCUUGCUGCUCGCUGUGUUCUACCUGCAGCCCUACCUCCACAGGAGGCUGUGGAUUAUGAAUAUGAAUUUCUUGCUCUAUUUCCAGGGUUUCAGUGGCAGCCUGUGAUGUGGAUGGCAGGUCUAUUAAUUUAGAAGGGCGAGACUGCAAAAGAAAGGAAGUUAUUAUAUAUCACAUAACUGAAUUAUGCACAUAGAUGUAUAUUACAAUUGUGUGCAAAAUGAA